rnacentral:rRNA from 1 species
ACGAAGGGUGCAAGCGUUAAUCGGAAUUACUGGGCGUAAAGGGUGCGUAGGCGGUUCGUUAAGUCUGUCGUGAAAUCCCCGGGCUCAACCUGGGAAUGGCAUUGGAUACUGGCGAGCUAGAGUGCGGUAGAGGAUAGUGGAAUUCCUGGUGUAGCAGUGAAAUGCGUAGAGAUCAGGAGGAACAUCCGUGGCGAAGGCGACUGUCUGGACCAGCACUGACACUGAGGCACGAAAGCGUGGGGAGCAAACAGGA